rnacentral:tRNA from 2 species
AAUUGGUUUGCUCAGUUGAUUAGGGCGCUCCACUGGAAAUGGAGAGGUCCCUGGUUCGACACUAGGAUUAGGUG